GUGCUCACUUCAACAGCACAUAUACUAAAAUUAUAAUGAUAAAGAGAAUAUUAGCAUAGCGUCUGCACAAGGUUGACAAGCAAAUUCAUGAAGCAUUCUAUAUAUUU
rnacentral:snRNA from 1 species